GACGAACGCUGGCGGCGUGCUUAACACAUGCAAGUCGAACGGAAAGGCCCUGCUUUUGUGGGGUGCUCGAGUGGCGAACGGGUGAGUAACACGUGAGUAACCUGCCCUUGACUUUGGGAUAACUUCAGGAAACUGGGGCUAAUACCGGAUAGGAGCUCCUGCUGCAUGGUGGGGGUUGGAAAGUUUCGGCGGUUGGGGAUGGACUCGCGGCUUAUCAGCUUGUUGGUGGGGUAGUGGCUUACCAAGGCUUUGACGGGUAGCCGGCCUGAGAGGGUGACCGGCCACAUUGGGACUGAGAUACGGCCCAGACUCCUACGGGAGGCAGCAGUGGGGAAUAUUGCACAAUGGGCGGAAGCCUGAUGCAGCAACGCCGCGUGCGGGAUGACGGCCUUCGGGUUGUAAACCGCUUUCGCCUGUGACGAAGCGUGAGUGACGGUAAUGGGUAAAGAAGCACCGGCUAACUACGUGCCAGCAGCCGCGGUGAUACGUAGGGUGUGAGCGUUGUCCGGAUUUAUUGGGCGUAAAGGGCUCGUAGGUGGUUGAUCGCGUCGGAAGUGUAAUCUUGGGGCUUAACCCUGAGCGUGCUUUCGAUACGGGUUGACUUGAGGAAGGUAGGGGAGAAUGGAAUUCCAGGUGGAGCGGUGGAAUGCGCAGAUAUCAGGAGGAACACCAGUGGCGAAGGCGGUUCUCUGGGCCUUUCCUGACGCUGAGGAGCGAAAGCGUGGGGAGCGAACAGGCUUAGAUACCCUGGUAGUCCACGCUGUAAACGGUGGGUACUAGGUGUGGGGUCCAUUCCACGGGUUCCGUGCCGUAGCUAACGCUUUAAGUACCCCGCCUGGGGAGUACGGCCGCAAGGCUAAAACUCAAAGGAAUUGACGGGGCCCCGCACAAGCGGCGGAGCAUGCGGAUUAAUUCGAUGCAACGCGUAGAACCUUACCUGGGUUUGACAUGGAUCGGGAGUGCUCAGAGAUGGGUGUGCCUCUUUUGGGGUCGGUUCACAGGUGGUGCAUGGCUGUCGUCAGCUCGUGUCGUGAGAUGUUGGGUUAAGUCCCGCAACGAGCGCAACCCUUGUUCACUGUUGCCAGCACGUUAUGGUGGGGACUCAGUGGAGACCGCCGGGGUCAACUCGGAGGAAGGUGGGGAUGACGUCAAGUCAUCAUGCCCCUUAUGUCCAGGGCUUCACGCAUGCUACAAUGGCUGGUACAGAGAGUGGCGAGCCUGUGAGGGUGAGCGAAUCUCGGAAAGCCGGUCUCAGUUCGGAUUGGGGUCUGCAACUCGACCUCAUGAAGUCGGAGUCGCUAGUAAUCGCAGAUCAGCAACGCUGCGGUGAAUACGUUCCCGGG
rnacentral:rRNA from 1 species